AUGGAGGAUCUCCCAGAGCCACUGCUAGCAGAGAUUGUCAAGAAGGUUGCCAAGAGAAGUGAUCUGAAUUCGUUUUCCCUUGUGUCAAAGCAGCUCUACUCCAUUGAGGCAUCACAAAGGGGUGCCAUCCGUGUCGGCUCUGGCCUUCACCCUGCUAGAAAAGCCUUGGCAUCACUGUGUUCCCGGUUCCCCAAUUUGUGGAAAGUGGAAAUUGAUUACUCUGGUUGGACCAGUGGCCAUGGGAAUCAGUUGGGCAAUAAAGGCCUCCUUGUGAUCUCGUCAUGCUGCCCCUCGCUAACUGAUCUAACCUUAAGCUUCUGUUCACGCAUAAAGGAUUCUGGUCUUGGAUAUCUCGUUAAUUGCAAGAAAUUGAUGUCUCUGAGGCUGAACUCCGUCCAAAAAAUAACUUCAGGCGGGAUCCUCUCAGUGGUAGUUGGUUGCAAGACUCUAUCUGCUCUCCACCUUAUUGACUGUGAGAAAAUCGGGAGCGAGGGCUGGCUGGAGAACCUUGGAUGUGAGGGGUCAUUGGAAGAGCUUGUUGUGGAGAACUGCAAAGGAAUCAGCCAGUAUGACCUCCUAAAGUUUGGACCGGGAUGGAUGAAGCUCCUGAGGUUUAAAUUUGACCCUGACCCCAUGAGUUGUUCCUGGAAUAUAUAUGGUAGUGAUGAUCUCUCGUAUGUGGCUCACUACCCAUAUAAAUAUGAUUUUUGUUGCGAGAGUUUGACGGAUUUGUCAUUGGCACACAUUGCAACUAAGCCAGGAAUAGGACUUCGUUUUCUAUUGGGGAAGUGCAAAGCAUUGGAGAAACUGCGUCUGGAGUAUAUCAAUGGCCUAAAUGACAGUGACAUGAUUACACUAUCCAAGUGCUGCAAAAACCUUAGAAGCAUCUCACUUUGGCUCCUGCCACAGUUCUAUGGUGGCAAUUUCAGGACGGCAUUUACUGAUGACAGCCUGAAAUCUCUAGCUGUCAGCUGCCCUAUGCUUGAGUCUAUUGAACUCACAUUUGAUGGUUGUGAGCCCUUAUAUCCAUCAGAAAUAGGCUUCACACAGGAUGGCCUUAUCAUGCUCAUUCAGUCUUGUCCGAUUCGUGUUCUUGUGCUAAGGGGUGCCAACUUUUUUGCAGACAAGGGGAUGAAGGCCCUCUCAUCUGCUCCAUUACUGGAGACACUCGAGCUUGUGUGCUGCAGAGCGAUAACAGAUGCUGGGAUGCGUUUCAUUGCACGUGCCCCAUGCUUGAUCAAUCUCACACUCCGGAUCUGUGCACAAGUGACUGAUGCUGGAGUGGCCAUGCUAGUACAUGCACUGAAGUUAGAGUCUCUGAUCAUUGAAGGCUGUGACCGGGUCUCUAAGAAGGCUGUGAAGAGGGUUGGUGGAUCAGCUCAGUGCCACACUUCCAAAAAAAGAUUGGUUCAGUACUCCGCCGAGUCUGCAAGCCCGGCCGAAUUAAAAAGAAUUCGCUACUAA
rnacentral:rRNA from 1 species